AUGGUGUGCUCGGCCACAUGCCUUGCUUGGUCCUAUGGGAUGUUAGUAGGUAUGAUAAGCAGAGGCCUAGGAUGUGUUCCACAGUUGGGCUUGCCCUCUUGGGCUUCUGCCAGCACCACAAGAAAUGUCUGCCCUGGUAGCACUAGUUCAAACAGGAUGAGAGACCUGUGGAGCAGACCUGGACCACACCUACAGCUCACAGCAAGCCCAGAUUUAGGUAAAAUGUUCUUGGCACGAAGACUGCAUAGGUGAUGGAGUGACAGCAGCAAGAUUGUAGAAUAGGAAGCCCAAACCUUACUCCCCCAUGGAGACAUUGAUUUAAUCACAACCUACUGUCCAAAGCCUUUAUGAAAACUCCAGAAACAGUUCAGAAGUUGCAAUAUCCCAGGCAAGCUCAAAAACAAAAACACCACAUCCAAAUGGUUAAAAAGAAUCAUUUCAUUUCAAUUGCAUCAACCUUUCCCCCAAGAUGGCACAGCGUGUUGUAAUUGGGAAAAAGUAUCCAGCUUACAACUUCUCCCUUGGGAGAGACAGAGAAGACUGGAACAUGCAUCCAACAUUCUGGCUAUCUGGAUGGCAGGCCUAGGGUCUGAUUUCUAUGUACCUGACCCAGAGCACUGACCGAAUAAGCAUAUUUUGGGUACCUGAAGGCCACAGGGAACAAAGGAGAGAUCAUCAGCGUGAUACAAAGCCAGACAGUCGGCAGUAUUUUAGACAACCACCAGAGAGAAAAAGAUAUUACUAACUCCUUUUUAAAAAAUGAGCAAAUAUGGAAAAUUAUACACACAAGCUGAGAGAAGAUAUAUCACCACAAAAGGUUUCAGAGACCCCAGAAUUGCUAGCCAGGCUGAUUGGUAAGAGUCUUCCCUUGUAUGAAACCAUUCUAUAGAGACCAGGAGAGGUGGCUGUGUUUUCAAUUGCACAAGUCACAAUUCCCAGCACCCCUGCCAGCUCUUACUCCAAAAAAAAAGGUACACAGAGAAAUAGGAAAACAUGGUGCAAUAUAUAUAAUAUAUAUAUGUA
rnacentral:lncRNA from 13 species